UUUUUAGUGUAAGUAUAUCCCAUGUAAUAUUUGGGACAUGGUUAUACUAAAA
rfam:Homo sapiens chromosome 20, GRCh38 reference primary assembly.